UAACAGUGGAUAAGUUAGUUAUUUAAUAGCUUGCUUUUGUUCUUCUCUUUCCCUUCCCCAUUUCAGAUAAACUGCUGGGAAAGAAUACAAGACAACCUUCUGAUUGCCUGCUGAAAUGCUAAGAUCAAAUGGACCAGGUAGAACAUCAAGAAGAGUUUGGCUAAAGGCAAGUCAAAACCAUGACAUCAUCUGCAGAAGGCAGCUUGUUGCUGACAUCACUGAUUCUUCCUUCUGAUUUAAAUGGUAUUAUUCAUGUUGAUGGGAUCACUACAAGACUGUGAUCAGUCUUCACAGUAGCGAGGCCUGGUAAGUGUCAUCAAACACUCAUGCUCCUUGCAGGUUGCUCCAAUAUCUUUGAUUACUCAAGGAGGAAAGAAGUAUAUGUAAUCAUUGACAUAGUAUCAUUCUACCUGAAAAUGCUUAACAGUACCAAAUAAUUAUAGCUGUUACAACACUGUAGAUUGAGAAGAUGUCAGCUUUAAAUUUUGCUGUUGCUUUUACACAAAAUCAAACAUAUCUAUAUCUACUGGAAUUCUCAUUAGCUUUUCAAGAGGGUGACCAACACCAUUAAGCUCAAAGCACAUUUCAUGGAAAAGACUAAAAAGUAAUACAGAGAAAAUUAAACAUCCCAUCAUUAAUGAAGUGAUAAUAAAGAUUAAGUACAUUUGAAGCA
rnacentral:lncRNA from 1 species